rnacentral:miRNA from 1 species
AUAAAUACGGUUUCCUUCUCUCUCUCUCUCUCUCUCUCUCUCUCUCUCUCUCUGUGUGUGUGUGUGUGUGUGAGAGAGAGAGAGAGAGAGAGAGAGAAUGGGGGAGAGAAAGAGUGAGCACAGGA